rnacentral:rRNA from 1 species
AUUGAACGCUGGCGGCAUGCCUUACACAUGCAAGUCGAACGGUAACGGGCCUUCGGGUGCCGACGAGUGGCGAACGGGUGAGUAAUACAUCGGAACGUGCCCGAUCGUGGGGGAUAACGAGGCGAAAGCUUUGCUAAUACCGCAUACGAUCUACGGAUGAAAGCAGGGGACCGCAAGGCCUUGCGCGGACGGAGCGGCCGAUGGCAGAUUAGGUAGUUGGUGGGAUAAAAGCUUAGCAAGCCGACGAUCUGUAGCUGGUCUGAGAGGAUGAUCAGCCACACUGGGACUGAGACACGGCCCAGACUCCUACGGGAGGCAGCAGUGGGGAAUUUUGGACAAUGGGCGCAAGCCUGAUCCAGCCAUGCCGCGUGCAGGAUGAAGGCCUUCGGGUUGUAAACUGCUUUUGUACGGAACGAAAAGCCUUCUUUUAAUACAGGAGGGUCAUGACGGUACCGUAAGAAUAAGCACCGGCUAACUACGUG